rnacentral:lncRNA from 1 species
UGUUAUUCAUAAGUGAAGCAGCUUUUACUCUCUAGCCUUACCAAGCAAUUUACAGCUCCCUAAAAGCAAUAUACUCUUGCAUAAACCUUUGAGCUUUUAUAUGUGCCUUUCCUUCUGUUUACUAGAUUUUUUUCUUGCUUGCUAAAUUUCUAUGAUUUAACCAAGCAACAGUUUGUGAAAUCUAUUGCUCUCCGUGCCUCGUCACACUUUCACAUAUAUUUGUGCUUGUGUGAUCUAACAUCCAUUUUAUUUUUUCAGCCUACCUUAGUAUUACCAGGUACUUCUGGGUGUUCAUUGACUGAAAGACUACUCAGACAAAAUACUGAACUGACAGGACAUAUCAGCCAACUGACUGAAGAAAAGAAUAAUUUGAGGAAUGUAGUCGUGAAGAUGGAAGAGCAGUUGAGGCGCUGUCAACAGACAGGAACUGGUGGAGAUUAUGUACGUCAUUUUAGAAGUAGUGCCAAGUUACAGUUUCUGCUAUCUAAUUUUGGUUCUUAACCCUGAAUGUAAAAGCAUCAGGUCAGUUGUGUAGGAGGAUCUGUGGAAAUUUUUAUAGGGAUGACUGUAAUAUUAAUAGCUAUUAUUUUGUUGAGGGAGCCGUCUCUGUACCAGACUCUGAGAAAACUGACUUGAAGUCAUAAUCCACUCUACGUCUGUGAAUCUCCAAAGACAGAUACAGUAUUGACUGUCAGCAGACAUGUGUAGAGAAAUGUUCAAUGUGAAUCCUCACUGUUGUCUUCAUUAUUUACCACUUACUGUGUUUAUGACUCAAGUGGAAGAUGCUUUGAAAUUAUAUAUUUCAGUAUCUCCAUUUCUCUAGUAAGGGCUCCACAUUUGGACCCCCAUGUCCAUCUCUUAAGUCUCUCAACAUUUUUAGUAAAAGCUCUGCUAGAUCUGAUAAACCUUUUCUGUGGCUAGGCUUUCACCAAGGACU